CCUACGGGGGGCUGCAGUGGGGAAUAUUGGACAAGGGGGGCAACCCUGAUCCAGCCAUGCCGCGUGUGUGAAGAAGGCCCUCGGGUUGUAAAGCACUUUCAGUGAGGAAGAACGCCUGGUGGUUAAUACCCAUCAGGAAAGACAUCACUCACAGAAGAAGCACCGGCUAACUCCGUGCCAGCAGCCGCGGUAAUACGGAGGGUGCGAGCGUUAAUCGGAAUUACUGGGCGUAAAGCGCGCGUAGGUGGCUUGAUAAGCCGGUUGUGAAAGCCCCGGGCUCAACCUGGGAACGGCAUCCGGAACUGUCAAGCUAGAGUGCAGGAGAGGAAGGUAGAAUUCCCGGUGUAGCGGUGAAAUGCGUAGAGAUCGGGAGGAAUACCAGUGGCGAAGGCGGCCUUCUGGACUGACACUGACACUGAGGUGCGAAAGCGUGGGUAGCAAACAGGAUUAGAUACCCUAGUAGUC
rnacentral:rRNA from 1 species